UAGGAUCUUUCAAUAAAGUUAUAAGCGAGUUUAGUAGAAUUAGUUGGAAAGCUAUACCGUAGAGUGUGAUAGUCACGUAGACGAAAAACUCAAAUAUAGCGAGAGAGACACCUGAGUAACCCGGGACACGUGUAAUCCUGGGCGAAUUAGCGGGGCCCAUCCCGUAAGGCUAAAUAUACCCGAGAGACCGAUAGUGUACAAGUACCGUGAGGGAAAGGUGAAAAGAACCUCGAACAGAGGAGUGCAAUAGAUCCUGAACCCGUCUGCUUACAAGCGGUAGGAGCACCUUUGAGGUGUGACUGCGUGCCUUUUGCAUAAUGAACCUACGAGUUACCUUCUCUGGCAAGGCUAAGUAACGUUAAGUUACGUACCCGGAGCGAAAGCGAGUCUGAAUAGGGCGUAUAGUCAGAGGGGGUAGACGCGAAACCAAGUGAUCUACCCUUGGCCAGGUUGAAGGUUAGGUAACACUAACUGGAGGACCGAACUGUUAAGCGUUGAAAAGCUUUCGGAUGAGCUGAGGGUAGGGGUGAAAGGCUAAUCAAACUUGGAGAUAGCUCGUACUCCCCGAAAUGCAUUUAGGUGCAGCCUUAGGAGUUUCUUGUAAGAGGUAGAGCGACUGAUUGGAUGCGAGGCUUUCACCGGCUAUCAAGUCCAGACAAACUCCGAAUGCUUACAAUUUAUAUCCUGGGAGUGAGGGCAUGGGUGCUAAGGUCCAUGUCCGAGAGGAGAAGAAUCCGGACCAUCGGCUAAGGUCCCUAAAUCACUGCUAAGUUGGACAAACGCGGUCAAGAUGCGAAGACAGCUAGGAUGUUGGCUUGGAAGCAGCCAUUCAUUUAAAGAGUGCGUAACAGCUCACUAGUCGAGGAUUUUGGCAUGGAUAAUAAUCGGGCAUAAGCAGUGUACCGAAGCUGUGGGAUGUAUAUACAUCGGUAGGGGAGCAUUCUUAUUGGGGUUGAAGGUGUCAGGACGACUGGUGCUGGACCUAUAAGAAAAGCAAAUGUAGGUAUAAGUAACGAUAAAGGGGGUUAGAA
rnacentral:rRNA from 1 species